rnacentral:lncRNA from 1 species
AUGCUAAAAUGAAUUUCAUGCUCUCUAUUAUUGAAUCAUUAAAAUUACCUUGGUUGUCAAUAAUAGAUGGUAGCUGAAAAUCAAUUACGGAUUGUUGCGUGUUGGGUCUGCGUAUGUAGAUUUGCAGUGUUUGCUUUGGGUUUCCAUUUGUAGAUCUUGUUUGAUUUGGGAGGUGAUGAGAUAUAAGUGGUAAGUUACUCAUUUCUUGGAUUGUCUGUGAGGGCAUAAAGUUCUGAAGAAAUGUAUUAUAUAGUGUGAACUAAAAUUGAGUAUUUAAGUUCCUUCUUCUAAAGUUGGUUUUAAUAUCAUUUAUUCAUGGGAGUUAUUUGUGUAGUUUUAGAUGAUUUUUUUUUUUUUUAAAAACGUGUUUCAGUUUAGCUUUUAGCUAGUAUGGAAGUUUGAUUUGACCCGGUUAUCUUUCAGGUUAGUUUGGUUUAUUUUAUCGUUCCUUUGUUUUGCUUUGUAUAAUUGGAAUUGUAAUUUCGAAACUCUGAUUAGUGUUGUAUAUGUUCCUUUCAAAUUAAGUUAUUAAUUUUUGAUUUAAUAUGCAUUGCAACUCUUUUUGAAAGUUAUAAAAAUUUGCUAACGUUCAAUCUUUUUAUUUUUUUAGGUAGUGUAUCAAAAAAGAGGUAUGUCCCCCCUAAAAUCACAUGGGCUUAUCAUCAGAAUAUGAGAUUAUGUGGAC